GUGUCAGCAGCCGCGGUAAUACGUAGGGGGCCAGCGUUGUCCGGAUUUACUGGGCGUAAAGCGCGCGUAGGCGGAACGUUAAGUCUGGCCUGAAAGCCCCCGGCUCAACCGGGGAAGGUGGCUGGAAACUGGCGUUCUUGAGGGCGAUAGAGGAGUGUGGAAUUCCUGGUGUAGCGGUGAAAUGCGUAGAGAUCAGGAGGAACACCCAUGGCGAAGGCAGCACUCUGGGUCGGCCCUGACGCUGAGGCGCGAAAGCGUGGGGAGCGAACGGGAUUAGAUACCCCCGUAGUCC
rnacentral:rRNA from 1 species